UUUGAACUGGCUGAGGGUCGGAGGCGGCGGCUGCCGAACAGGGUUCCGCGUCCCCGGAGGGAGAACCCGCGAGGAAGGAGCGGAUAUGGCCGCGAAUAGGAACUUGAAGCAAGUGCGGAUCGAAAACAGCUCCCCAGCGGCGCCGCUGGGCAUGGUGGGGGGUGGCGGCGGCGGCAACCUGAAAGGAUUGCGCGGCCUAGAAGCGGAGAGUGAGGCGGCGGCGGCGGCCAUGGCUCUGGUGCCGAGCAAAGAAGGUGGCGGAGAUGACGAGCAGGAGGUUGGGUUCACCAUCGAUAUCAAGAGCUUUCUUAAACCUGGCGAGAAGAGUUACACGCAGCGUUGCCGGCUGUUCGUGGGGAAUCUGCCUACUGAUAUCACUGAGGAGGAUUUCAAGCGCCUUUUCGAGCGCUACGGGGAGCCCAGCGAGGUCUUCAUCAAUCGGGACCGUGGCUUCGGCUUCAUCCGCCUGGAAUCUAGGACCCUGGCUGAAAUAGCAAAGGCAGAACUUGAUGGUACUAUUUUGAAGAGCAGACCACUUCGAAUUCGAUUUGCUACCCAUGGAGCUGCCUUAACUGUGAAGAAUUUGUCACCUGUGGUUUCCAAUGAGCUCCUGGAACAAGCAUUCUCACAAUUCGGGCCAGUGGAAAGAGCGGUUGUUGUAGUGGAUGAUCGUGGCAGAGCUACAGGGAAGGGUUUUGUAGAGUUUGCAGCAAAACCUCCAGCACGGAAAGCUCUAGAAAGGUGCAGUGAUGGGGCAUUCUUGCUUACAACAACACCUCGACCUGUUGUUGUAGAACCAAUGGAGCAAUUUGAUGAUGAGGAUGGACUCCCUGAGAAGCUAAUGCAAAAAACACAACAGUACCACAAGGAAAGAGAACAGCCUCCACGCUUUGCUCAGCCUGGAACAUUUGAGUUUGAGUAUGCUUCGCGGUGGAAGGCUCUUGAUGAGAUGGAAAAGCAGCAGCGUGAACAGGUUGACAGGAAUAUUAGAGAAGCCAAAGAGAAACUUGAGGCAGAAAUGGAAGCAGCUAGACAUGAGCAUCAGCUAAUGCUAAUGAGGCAAGAUCUCAUGCGUCGUCAAGAAGAAUUGAGGCGCUUGGAAGAACUUCGAAAUCAAGAACUUCAAAAACGCAAGCAGAUACAAUUGAGACAUGAAGAAGAACACAGACGUCGUGAAGAAGAGAUGCUACGCCAGAGGGAACAGGAAGAGUUACGACGACAGCAGGAGGGAGGAUUUAAGCCAAAUUUCAUGGAUAAUAUGCGUUUAGCCCAGCACCUGCUGGUAACCAAGGCCCUCCUCCAAUGAUGGGUAUGAAUAUGAACAACAGAGGAACUUUACCUGGCCCUGCAAUGGGUCCUGGUCCUUCCAUGGGACCAGAAGGAGCUGCAAAUAUGGGAACACCAAUGAUGCCAGAUAAUGGAACAGUGCAUAAUGAGAGAUUCGCUCAAGGAGGCCCAUCCCAGAUGGGUUCACCUCUGGUUAGUAGAACGGGCUCUGAAACUCCUCAGCCGCCAAUGAGUGGUGUAGGUGCCGUGAGUGGUGGACCUGGUGGCUUUGGUAGAGGAAACCCAGGGGGCAACUUUGAAGGACCUAACAAGCGUCGCAGAUACUAAACCUUAAUUCAUUCCUUACUGUUUUAGAAAUUCCAGUAAAAUUAUACAGUGAUAUGCCUUUAUAAUUUUAGCUGUUAUCUGGAAACGGUUCUAUUGUUAUUGUAGUCUUUAAAACAGUUUCUUUUGUAAAACUUUUUUUGUAUUCGGUCAUAGGCUUUGUAGUAUAGAGCAGAAAUGAUGCGGAUCAUUAUGUAAGGCAAUGUGUUUGUGACUAGCAAAAUACAAUGUGUGACUAUGCUGUAAAACAUGCAGUUAUCUGAUUACAAUAAAACAAAAAUCACUGGAAAGGAUUCUGGGAAUGUUAUUACUAAUACUGAGUAAGAAUAAUUUUAUGCUUAAUUUUAAGAGGCAUCAUUUUCAUUUUUACAUAGUUUCUACUAUGUGUCAAGAAAGUUCCAUUCUUAAUAGUGAACAUUUAGCUAAACUGCAUGGUGCAGUACAUACUAUGAAAAACUUAUAACUGCUUUUGUUUUGACUUUUGAAGAGCAUAAAAUUUUAUACAAAGUGUUAUCAAAGAUACUGUGUCCUUGCAUCUCAAUCCACCACUGCAAACUUAGUCACAGUAAGAAGUUAUCGACAGAGGUUAUCUGUUAUACAAAUUAUUAGAAAAUUUAACUUAGGGAGGGAAAUAACCAACUUUGGAAAGGAAUCUCUAUGUAUGCUUUAUUCAUAACAGUAUGAGUGAAUUUACCUAAACCAUAUUUAUAGAGGAGAAAAUUGCUUGUGACAUCUAUGUGUUCUGCUGAUGGUUAAAGUAUCUUCCAUUGCAAGGAAGGAGACAUUUCUGCACGCUGGUUGAAAGCUUUCCACUGUGUGUUGCGCAUCAUUAUUAAUAAGUAUACAUUUUCCCCAGUGGUUGGUUUGAAAAAAGCCACAUCUGUUAUCAGUGUGUAACUGUAUAAUUAGGAAGCAAAUACAUGAUUUCCAGCAAAAGUAAGUUCACUUAUAGUUGAGUAUUAUGCAUUUAGAAGGAUUGUGCUUGAGUAUUUUUCAGAAAGGUUUUACAGAACAAGAAAUUUGGAAGAGGCCUAUUUACAGCACAACUCAGGGUAUAUUUGCCUAUUGAGUUUUAAGAUAAAAGUGAUAGUAAACCUACGAGGAAGCUUAUUAUGAUUCUUUUUUGUCAGUCUUGGAAGAUGAUGGAAAAGACCUAUUGGUUCUAUUCCUGUAAUGGCAAAUAAGUAGGGAUAUUGGUUGGUUACUAUUACUCUUUUUUCCUGUAUAAAAUAGUUGUAAAAUAGUAGUGUUCUUUUUUAUCAGUUCACUCACAUUUUCAGAGGUAGACAUUACUAAAUUUCAUCUGCAUGAAUUGUGAUACUAAAUUGGUUAAAAACUGACUUGAAAUAACCUGGUACCCUAAUAACAUCCAAAUGGUAUAUACAUGGCUCAGCAUGGGAUGCAAGCAGCAGAGAGGGCUUGUGUGUGUUACUUGUUAAUGUAGCAGUGAUUGGCUUGGUGGAUUGAAUUUUGAACAUAUGGUUAAGAAGAAAAUUGCAUCAUUGCUGGCAUACCGGAAAUACACUGUUAGUUAAAUUGCCAGUGUUUUAUGGCUUAAGAUACUGUUUUCAUACAAUUCAGGAGUUACCUUAGUGUAACUAAGUGUGUAGCCCUCACUUGUGACAUCUGUACCUGCUAAGCAUUUUCCUUUAUGUUGUCUUUAAUGUUGCCAUGUUUUGCUUGACUUGAUACAUGCCACAUUCUUAAAAUAAACCUCAACCAAACUGCAAGUGAUUUUACUUGACACACUGGUCCUAAAUGUUAAGAUUUGGGAAAAUUACUUUUUUCACUGCUAUAAACUAGUGUUUGUAUAUGGCAACUACUUAAGCUCUCUGCUCUAGUGUCCUUUAUUCAGUUCAAAGUACAGUUUACGUUGGUAUCUAGUAAGGUGUCUUAAGUAUGAGAUUACUAUUUUCUCAUCUUUUCUGCCCUUGUACUUGACUUUUUUAGGGGAUUGAGAAAGUAUUGGUGUGAUUUGGUAGUUCUCAAUUGUAAAGCUGUACAGGGAACAUGUUUUAAAUACAAAUUAAACUAGAUUCAAAAGGUUGGUUCAUUUUUUUUCAGAAGAAAAGACUGUGUUGCUCAGGCCUUUUAGCUAGCUCAAGUAUAUUUGUUUAGCUAUAUAAACCCUCCUCCUUGUACUCAUACUCAUAUCUGAGUAAGUUUCAGAAGAACAUUUAAUAUAUUGAAUCAGCAAAAGCGGUUCAUACUUUCCAUGCCAGCUUCGUGCUAUUUUAAGUACAUGUUUGUGCACUGUUGUUUUGGUAGCAAGUGGAGGUAUGCAUUUAUUUGAAAGUUCUUGUAGUUUUUAUUUAACAUUAGUGAUUGUCAUUUCACAGUUGUGACCUGCCCUUCCUGUAAACCUCUGACUUGGAUGGCUCUGCUGCAUGGUAGCAGUGGGUUUGUCAGCUAUCCUUACUGCAGAAAAUAAUUUAAUCUAUUUUUAAAUUUCCAAGCCGUAACAAAUAAAUACUGAAAUGUAUUUUUGGGCAGAUUGUAAAUAGUUAAUGAAGAGUGCCUUUUGUAGCUGAUUAUGGACUGCUAAGUUCAGCUCUUGAAAGUUUUCUUUGGGCUGCCUGGCUCAACUCUAAAGGCAAUGCUUCUCAUUUUGCUAAAUGUGGUAGUAGCUAUACAAUAAACACACCUAAUUUUGUUAAAAAAGAAAUGGUCCCAAAUUAUUUCCUAAAAAAUGUGUAGAUGUGGCCAACCAGUUUUUACAUUAAGGUUCUGCCCUUCUGCUAAAGUGAUUAAUUUUUCUUGUUCCUCAUCUGAUUGAUCAGCUUAUCAUUUUUUCUGUGUACAUAUGUACUCAAGAUUUUAACUACAUUUGCACUGUUUGACUGGAAAGCAGUGAAGUCCUGACUCUCUGCUAUAUGGUAUGCUAAAACAAAUAGGCUUGGAAUAUAUGUGAAUCUGCCACCUACAGUGCAGUUACUUUUGUAAUGUACUUGCUGAGCUUUUACAUUAUUCCUGCAGUUUCAUAUUCCUAAACUGCCUAAUUUUCCUGUGAGAUAAAAUUUUGGUAUUUAAAGAUAACAAAGCUUUACUGUUCCAUUUAAGUUAUAUGCUGUUCUGACCAAUGUGCUCAUUAGAUAAAGCACAUUGAUAUUUUGGGAAACUUUGUGGUGAUCCUAAUAUAUUUUACUGUAUUUAUUUCCUAAAAAAAUCACAAACUGCUGUGGAUUACCUGGAAAGAAAAUUCCUGACAUGCAGUUGUUUUAUUUGUUGUCAACGUUUGUUUUAUGCAGUUGCACAUAAAGAUAUAAUAAAUUGAAGAUUCUUACUAGAACAAAAUUUAAAAUAGAUAUGGAUGGCAAGAACACAGUAUGAACUAAAUACUGCAUUAAUUUAAUUUUAAGCAUACUCCAGUAGGAUUUUAUAGUAUGCAUGCUUUGAGGAGCAUUCUCAUCUAAAGUAUGCUGCCACAUUUUAAAAUGUUAUAUCAAUUUCCCUCUUUUUCACUCUUGAUUUCAGAUCUAGAAUAAUUUGUAAUUACGAAUUCUUUGAAAGAUAUAAAACACAAGCACAGUGACAUGAACUAUGUGUUACAAAACAGUUGCGAUCUACCUUGAGAUAACUUUGCUCAAAAAUGCUGAAAUAACCAAUCUAAAGGCAGAUUUUCAAGUGAAAACCAAAACCCUGUAGGCCUUUUGAAGAGAGAAAACAUACUUGGAGGUGAGAUGUUCAGCAAUUAACUGGUGUGCUCUGGUGCCAUGAAGUUCAUUUUGCUUUAAGCAUGUUGCAGAAACAAAUUUUUUUGCAUACUUCCCAAUCUAUCUAUUUUUUUUUAAGAAGUUGGAUCAUUAUUUUUCCCUUUAGAAGUCAAACUAAAGCAUAAUUGAGCCACUAAAAUAGUAUGGAAGGCAGGGUAGCAAACAGAGUCAGUUUAUGUUGGACUGAAAAUGUGAAGGGGUUCUAAAUCCCAUUCCUGAGACUUGAAGUGUUGCAUAUCUGUGGGUAGUUUUAGAGUCUGCAUGCAGCAUCUUUUGUUAGCUUGUGCUUGUGGCCAAGAGUGGGGGACUUCAGAGAGCACACACUUCUGGUGCAAUUUAAUUGUCUUCUCAGGAGCCCUCAAAUUAUUAAUAUGGGCACUGUGCUGUUACUAAGAUGCUCAUCUUGGAGUUCGGUGCUUUCCUUGGGCUGUUAGCUCACUUCUAGCAUGAGGGAAUAUCAGUCCAAACUUUCCUGAUUCAUGAGUGGUAAGGAGGGAGUGAGUGUGGUCUAUGGGAAAUGCAGAGGAUGUUACUACUUUAGAUUAUUGGCCAUUCAGUGCUAGUUUGGUGGCAAAUGUUGAACUGUAGUAACCUGAAAGCAUUUGCUUUCUUCAAACUUCACUUGCAGAAAUGUAAGAACUUGGUAACAGUAAGAGGAUUGACUAAAAACUUGGAAUACCUAAUCGUUAGGUAUAAUUUUUCCCAUUGGAUUGUUUUUAUGUUACCUUUUGUUACAUUUGCAGUUAUACUGUAAAGUAGUUUUAGCAAUCUCACACGUUUGGUGUGUUUUGUUAAAGUAUUGGUUUUCCAUAUUUCCAACAGUUUUGGGUGUUUUCCAUAAAAUAUUUUAAAAAUCACAGCUGUAGGCAUUUCGGGUGUGUUUUCACAAUAAUCCAUUAAAUACUGAAGCUAGUUAUAAAAUUGUCUAAAAUGUUACUUGUAGAAUAAAUAAACUGAAUGUGAAAUUCUCACGUAAACUGUAAUUUUUAUGCAUGGAAACAAACUCUCAAUGUGUUCAUUUUCAGUGGGAUAGAUUUAAUAGGUCUUUUCCAUCUUGAACUUCCUUAAGAUACUCUGAAAGUUAAUAUAAUUUAAAUUUCGAGGCAUCCUUAUUAAUGACCUCAGCCUGACUUUUAAAAGCAGUGUGAAAGGUUUCUUCUGUUAGGAACAGCAGCCCUUUUUUCCUAAUUGAAGGAGCUACUCAGAAAACCAUUCAGAGAUAAACAGCAUACUUACAGGUAAAACUUAUUUAAAAACCCCUCUGCUCUAAAGUAAUGAUUAUUAUAUAUACACAAAUCACAGUGAAAGAAAGAAAGCAAAUUUGUGAAUGUGUGUAAAAACUCAAGUGAUUUGUAUGUGGUCCUUUGAGUGGAGAAUAAAAUUCUCAUAAUAAGAGGUAUGAGAUUCAAAAGGAACUGGACUGUGCUGCUACAUACACUUAUGGAUAAGGUUUUUCCAUCUGUUUGGGUAAAUGAUUUGUCUAGAGCUUCCAUUGUUCCUAGAUUUACUAGUGUGCUUUUAUAUCUCUAUUUCUGUAGAGUAAAGCAUAGCUGUAUAAUUUGAUUGAAUUUACAUGCUAAUUGUAUGCGGGACGUUAAGUGCUUGACUUGAAAGAAUUGCAGUGAGAAUAAAGAUACUGUUCUUGACUUUAAGUGAAAACUGCAUAGAUCCUUGAACAGGAAUAAGUGUGGAGGGUCCUAUGUGUAAACUGAACA